UAAAACACCCGAUCGAAACAAUAAAACACGCGAUGGCAGAAGAAUAAGGCACGCAAGAAGAAGACGAAGAGCCCACCCUUCCAAGACGAAGGAAGAGCUGCCAUCUCGAGUUGAGCUUGCGAGAAUUCUAUGCCAAUCAGUGCUUGAAGUUCAACAGGCGUCUAUCUCUCAGGAUUCAACUAUCUAUAAUUCAAGGGUCCAGCACCGGAUCCUUGAAUUCUGGCGAACGUUGGUGUGCUUCUCUCCAAUACAGUUGAUAACUUUAAAAUAAUAUGAGAUAGUUUUUUAAAGAAAAAGAGAUUCGUCUUAUGGCCUAGGACUUGUGGUUUUAUAAUAGACACUAAGUUCUUCCUAAUAUCAGGGACAUGAAAUACAUCUAGAAGGGCUAGUUCCUUCCCAGAGGUAAAUUUCAGCAGCACCUUUCCUUUUCCAGCAAUGGGCAAUUCUUGAUUUGAUCCUUGAUAAAAAUAAAAAAAAUAAAAAAUAAUCUGCAAAGAAAGAAUGAUCCCAACUUUGUGUGAUACCGAUUAUAACAAUUCCUAAUGGAUGGUGUUAAUAUUUGUUGUACUUGUACUUGGAGUCUUUUCUUUAGUUCAUUCGUUUUUUGAUUGAGUGAUUAGUAAGGAAUUUGCUUAAUUUAAUUCAAGAAUGGAAGUAUAGAGGUUUAUCUAUACUAUAUUUAAGAGAAUCCUCUUUGUCAAUUAACCAGGAAGAAUUUUUAUAGUAUUUUUAAUAGCUAAGGUAAGGUUGAUAUAGAGUAUGGUCUCGUGUUGGCCCCAAUCCCAUCUAAAAGAUAACUCAUAUCUUCCACCAUAUAGCUCAUGGUUUUGAACAAUAUUUAUGAAUGAAUAUGAAACUAGGGAUCAACAUUUGGCAUGUGGCGAAUGGGACGAAGUGGGUAGCUCGAUGAUCAAAAGCCCGUUACAGCUUGUUGUUUAGGCUCGUUUGGUCCAGUUCGCUCUUGAAUUGAAUAGGGCAUGGGCGUAGGAUUUGAAAUUCUCAGUCUACUCAUGGCCCAGCCCGCUUAGGCCUGUUUAGGCUCUAUUUUUUUAAAAACUUAAUUGAUGCACUUGCUAACCUCAAUUUAGACUUAAUUGAAACUAGCCCCUUGCAUGUGCC